rnacentral:rRNA from 1 species
CGGCGGACGGGUGAGUAACGCGUGGGUAACCUACCCUGUACACACGGAUAACAUACCGAAAGGUAUGCUAAUACGGGAUAAUAUAUUUGAGAGGGCAUCUCUUGAAUAUCAAAGGUGAGCCAGUACAGGAUGGACCCGCGUCUGAUUAGCUAGUUGGUAAGGUAACGGCUUACCAAGGCGCGAUCAGUAGCCGACCUGAGAGGGUGAUCGGCCACAUUGGAACUGAGACACGGUCCAA